rnacentral:rRNA from 1 species
CCUGAUCCAGCCAUGCCGCGUGUGUGAAGAAGGCCUUUUGGUUGUAAAGCACUUUAAGCGAGGAGGAGGCUACUUAGAUUAAUACUCUAGGAUAGUGGACGUUACUCGCAGAAGAAGCACCGGCUAACUCUGUGCCAGCAGCCGCGGUAAUACAGAGGGUGCGAGCGUUAAUCGGAUUUACUGGGCGUAAAGCGUGCGUAGGCGGCUUUUUAAGUCGGAUGUGAAAUCCCUGAGCUUAACUUAGGAAUUGCAUUCGAUACUGGGAAGCUAGAGUAUGGGAGAGGAUGGUAGAAUUCCAGGUGUAGCGGUGAAAUGCGUAGAGAUCUGGAGGAAUACCGAUGGCGAAGGCAGCCAUCUGGCCUAAUACUGACGCUGAGGUACGAAAGCAUGGGGAGCAAACAGGAUUAGAUACCCUGGUAGUCCAUGCCGUAAACGAUGUCUACUAGCCGUUGGGGCCUUUGAGGCUUUAGUGGCGCAGCUAACGCGAUAAGUAGACCGCCUGGGGA